GGGUGGGCGGAGCCGCGGCCGGGCAGUUCAUUAUGUUGGACAGGGCGCGUCUGCGCCUCCGGCCGCCGCGGCUCCCGGGGCCUCCGCCUGCAGCCGGCGGCGGAACGAGGGCAGGCGGCUGAGACAGGCGAGCUAUUUGCAUUCCCCGGCAGUCAUUUUUAUAUGCGGAGGUAAUGAAGUUGUCAGCGGCGCCCCGAGUGUGGCAGAGCCUGAUAUUCAAAUCGCCCUGCCCGCUCCGCCUGCUCCCGCCCGCUGGUCCCGGGAGCCCCAGGCUGCGCGCGCCCGCACCGCAUCGCCGCUUUGCCCCGCGACCGCGCGCGCCUCCUCGUCCUCCCCCGCGCCUUUGUUUCCGUCUCCUUCUCCUUUCCCUCCUCUUUUGUGUCGGGCCAGACUCAGCCCCAGAAACCAGCCACCCUGCCGCGUCCGACUGCCAGGGAUCCCUCACGCCGCGAGGUGGAGUCUCGCUCUGUCGCCCAGGCUGGAGUACAGUGGUGCGAUCUUGGCUCCCUGCAACUUCUGCCUCCCAGGUUCAAGCGAUUUUCCUGCCUCAGCUUCCUGAGUAGCUGGGACUACAGGAAGAGACACUAGAGAGACACUCAGCUGCAGUGAGAAUACACAGGCAUCUUCAAGUACCAGAGAUGUCUCCAAGAGCACCAGCAACCCCAGCUAUCUGGAUCUGAAGUGGAUAUGCUCAGAGACAUCCUGGCCCACCCCAAAGAAGAUGCUGCUGCACUCAGAAGACGCCAGAGCUAGCCACCACCCACACUGCAAGUCUGGAAGCUCUGCAAGGACCCAGCAAGGCAGCCUGCUCAGCGAAGGCUUUGUCUCCUGUGGCAGGAAGAGCAACAUUAAGAACAAGAACCCCGGGCUGGACUACCCCUGAGAUUUAAUGACCAGAGCUGAGACCCCCAAGACCACAAUGACUAUGGAGGGCUGUCAUUACCCUGCCUGACCCUCUAAUGCCUCUCAGUUCAAGGAGGCCACUGAGUGAAACUGAAGGCUGGUUUUCCUUGGAAGCCAGCGGCCCAUCCACCUGCUCCACUUCCCUGCCUCUUGCAGCCUCCGCUCAAACACUGUCGUGGCUUGGCAGCACUACAAGUAUUUCAGGGGCUGCCAAGCUGCUCUCCUGUUUCCUCUUCCUUGGGGCUGAUUGCAUCCCAUGAUGUGCCCAGGUUUUGAGAUGCUCCUCGUGAAUGAAAAUAGGACUGUCUGGUUCCUCCAUCCAUAGCAAGGGAGCCUAGACAGAAAUAACUUCUGUGCAUUUCUCCAGCUACAUUUAGGGAAAACUAGAAAAUACAGAAAUAUAUCAAGAAGAAAAAAAAUUUAAAAAUGACCCAAAAUCCCACCAACCAGAGACAGCUAUUAAUGAUUGUGGUAUAUUUAUUGAAUUUACUAAAGUCAUGCUAUACGCUAGGCACUGUGGAGGGACUGCAGAAAGACUUCAAGGACUGCACCGUCUUGUUAGAAAGAUGCCUAGACAACAUUUGAGAAACGCUGAUCAUGUCUGAUGACACAUAACUGCUAACAGUUACAUGGAAUUUUCUAUAUGCUAUAUACAAACAUACAAAUAUAUGUAUGUAUAUUUACUCAGCUCUCACAACAGCUACUACUGUUAUUAUGAAUCCUGUUUUAUAGUGAGAAAACUGAAACAUGGAGAGGUUAAGUAAUUUGCCCAAGAUCACAUAGCUACUAAGUGGUGGAACUGUGAUUAGAAUCCAGGCAUUCAGGCUCCAGAGUUCAUACUCUUCACAUACCACAUCUAUCUUGAAUAUAACAAUGUAGAGAAAAAGAAUUAUAGCAAGCAUAUGUCUAGGUAAGCAUUUUCCAGAAGUGACUGUUUUUUUGCAUUGGGUUUGUAAACUUUCAACAAUAAAGCAGGUUGGACUUUAUAUCAGUCAAAGCAGAAUAUUCUGAUGUCACCUUCCCCAAUGUUUAGGAUGUUAAUGAGAAUUGCUAAUCCAAGAGAAGAAAAUAAUCUCAUCUAAUUUGGGUAAGUCAAUUAUUUGAAAGUAGAAGAACCACCCUUCCACCUCUCUUGUUCUAAGGAACCUCUGGGGGAAGUACUGGAAAAAUAAUGCUUUCUAAUAAGCCCAAUAGGGCUUUUGAUUUGUAAUAACUAUUUUAAUAAGUAUCAGUUCAAUUCCUAUUAUUUUUAAGAAGUUCAUUGAAUGAAUUAAAGAACAAAUGAAUGAGCAAUGCUUUAGGCUAUAGGCUUUCAGAGGACGUAAUUCUAUGAAACAGACUCAGUGGUAUGCUGGCACCAGCUCCUACUUGCGUCUCUUUUCAACUUUGUGUUCAGUGACUUUGCCUUGGUAGCUUGACAUCAGCCAUGGUGGGAAUAUUUAAACUAAAUAACUGAGAAAAUGAUUCAUAUUAGAGAGCUUUCUUUUUUCCCGGGAACUAAGUGUUAAACAUUUACCAGCACACCACUGCCUAGACUUGUUAGGAAAUUCACAAGUGAGAAGAAAUUCUGUGAUUCCAGGAGAUGAAAGAGGGAAGUGUAAUGAGAAUAUCAACUUGAGUAUUUUAUCCGUUGCUUUCUUUAAUUGGGUCAUUUCAGAGGGUGGGUAGAUUUUGUUAAGACAGUUGAAAUAUUUAGGUAGGUAGAGGGGUGAGUGCAGUUGAAGAGUAAAGGCUGUUUGGGGCAGACAAAAGAAUGAUAGCACUCUUUCAAGUGCUCUGCCACCAGCAGUAAAAGUCGGGAGAAGGACCUAGCACCAGGACACGUGAUCUGUCCGGCGUAAGCGAGUGCUGAGUCAAAGGCCUGCAAUUCAGGCCCCUGCUCUGGGGCACGGUCAGUUUCAGCCAGGCCCAACUCUCUUUCCCAGGUCCAUGGCGUGGAUGGCACCCAGAAUCCAGCAGGGGAGUGCUGGUGGAUACACCUGGGAGGGCCUGGUGGAGGAUCAUUUGCGUGCAGAAAUAAGGAAAUAGACAUAUUUGAGCUGGAAGAAAAUCUUACAUGUCUGAUCCAAUUCUCUCAUUUCACAGAUAAGGAAAAGGGGCCCCAAAGAGUGAAGAGGGGAUGUCCUGAGGUCAUGAGGCUGGCUUACAGCAAGGAUCUGGACCAGACAGCAGGGUGGGACCCUCAGCUGUCCCCAUACUUGCUGCUUGAUAUUGGAUAGGUUAUUUAGGCUCUAUGUGUUUUCUCAUAAACACAUAGAGGUUAGGUAAAAAUGGUGGUGUGAGAAUGAACUAAUACAUGUAAAGAGCUUGCAUGUAGUAAGCUCUCAAUAAAUAUUAAUAAUACUGGGCACAGUGGCUCACACCUGUAAUCCCAGCACUUUGAGAGGCCAAGGCGGGUGGAUCCCUUGAGGUCAGGAGUUUGAGAACGCCCUGACAAACAUGGUGAAACCCCAUCUCUACUAAAAAUACAAAAAAUUAGCCAGGCAUGGUGGUGGGUGCCUGUAAUCCCAGCUGCUCGGGAGGCUGAGGCAAGAGAAUCACUUGAACCUGAGAGGUGGAGGUUGCUUUGAGCCCAGAUCAUGCCACUGCACUCCAGCCUAGGUGACAGAACCAGACUUCAUCUCAAAAAAAAAAAAAUUAAUAAUAUAGAGCCCUUGUGUUGACACUAUUCUCUUUUACAGCCAGAAAGAGAGAAAGAUUACAGAAAAUAAAAAUAUAUUAAUAUAUUAAAGGCAUAAUACUGUGAAUUAAUACUGAUUAAUUCAAUAUACUAUUAUAUCAAAAACCAGGAUACUAAUAAUAAAUAAUAUAUGGAAAACCACCAUACACAUUGGUAAAACAUUAACAUUUUCAAAUCUCCAAUCCAAGAAUUUUCCCCAAAUCCAGAUUGUGCAGGUAUUUUAGUGAAUGAUUCACCCUACAGAAUUACUUAUUACAUUUUUCUUUAAACUUCAAUGGAUUUGUAGCUGAAUGAGGGAUCAGGUAAUCACCAGACAUCUUGGAAGGGCACAUGAUCCCUCAGGCCUUUUCUUGGAGAAUGUUUAAAGAAACCUCUUCCUUCCCAUUAGGGAGGCCGACCAUGAGUCCCUUUGUGUUGACAGUGAAGGUGUCUGGGGCUACACCUCUUUCACAUGCUCUGCCACCAGCAGUAAAAGUCAGAAGGCCCUGGCACAGGGCACACCUGAUCUGUUCGGCAUAAGUGCUGAGUCAAAAGCCUGCAAUUAAGGCCAGUGGCUGGGAGGAGGCCUGGUCCCAGCCUCUCCUUGAUUUGCCUCACCCCACCCAAACACAGGUCAUGUUCAUCAUCUGCUAGCCAGCAAGGAAGAUGUGUGGGGUACAGGUUACAGGGACUGAGCCCGGAGCCUGACUUUCUGGGCUCUACCACUCGUUGUCUUCAUUUCCAAAGGCAAAGCACUUGACCUCUCUGAGCCUCCAUUUCUCAUCCAUAAAAUGGGGAUGAUGAUAAAAGUGACUGCUUCAUAGGAUUGUUGAGAGGAUCAACUCAAGUAAUAUGUGAAAAGUGGCACAUAAUAAGUACUCUGUUUCAUGUUUCUAAUUAAUUUUAUUUUUUUUAGGUUUUUUACUGUGGUAAAAUAUAUGUAACAUAAAAUUUACUAUUUUACUAUUUUUAAGUGUAAGUGGCGUUGAAUACAUUGUGGCAUUGAAUACAUUCACACUGUCAUGCAACCAUCAACACCAUCCACCUCCAGCCUUCUUCGUCAUCCCAAACUGAAACUCUACUCAUUAAACAAUAACUCCUCAUUCCCGCUUCCCCUUAGCCUCUGGGAACCAUUGUUCUUUGCCCAUUUUUAAAUGGAGGUUGUUGCUGGGUUGUGGGAGUUCUUUAUUCUGGAUAUUAAUCCUUUACCAAAUAGAUAAUUUGAUUUUUUUUCCUAUUCUGUGUGUUGCCUUGACUAUGUCCUUUCAUGCACAAAAUAUUUUAAUUUUGAUGAAGUCUAGUUUACCUAUUUUUUCUUGUAUUGCCUGUGUUUUGGUGUUAAUUCCAAGAAAUCAUUGCAAAAUUCAAUGUCAUGAAAUUUUGCCCCUUUCUUCUAAGAGUUUUAUAGUUUUAGCUCUUAUGUUUAGGUCAUUGAUGACUUUGAGUUAAUUUUUGUUUAUGAUGUAAGGUAAUGGUACAACUUCAUCCUUUUGCAUGUGGAUAUCCAGUUUUCCCAGCACUAUUUAUUGAAAAAAAGACUGUCUUUUCUCCAUUGAGUGGUCUUGGCAUCCUAGUUGAAAAUCAUUUGACCCUAUAUAUUAAGGUUUAUUUCUGAUUUCAUUGGUCUAUGAGUCUGUCUUUAUGCCAGGACCACUCUGUUUUGAUUACGGUAGCUUUAUAGCAAGUUUUGAAAUCAGGAAGUGUGAGACCUUCAACUUUGUUCUUCAUUUUUCUGGAUGUUUUGGCUAUUCUGGGCCCCUUGAGAUUUGAGAAAGAGUUCCCUCUACUGGCAGAUCUAAGACAGUCUGUUGACUCAGGUACCUGAUAAUUUUUGAAGAUGCAUUUAAGAAGUUAAACUAUUGAGAAUAAAAAAAUCUUAGCUAGGCUUUAUUUUAUUUUUCUGAUCGGUUAGAGACUCUUGGAGACUUCUCUUUCUUCUCAAUCAAUUUGACUGAGGUAUAAUUAAAAAAAAAUAAAACAUACUGAUAUGGCUUGGCUGUGUCCCCACCCAAAAUCUCAUCUUGAAUUAUAAUCCCCAUAAUCAUCAUAAUCCCCACGUGUCAAGAGAGAGACCAGGUGGAAGUAAUUGAAUCAUGGGGGCAGUUUCCCCGAUGUUGUUCUCGUGAUAGUGAGUGAGUUCUCACGAGAUCUGAUGGUUUAUGUGUUUACUAGUUCUUCCUGCGUUAAUUUUCCUUCCUGCCACCAUGUGAAGAAGGGGUCUUGCUUCCCCUUCGCUUUCUUACACGAUUGAAAGUUUCCUGAGGCCUCCCCAGUCCUGCGGAACUGUGAGUCAAUUAAACCUCUUUCCUUUAUAAAUUACCCAGUCUCGGACAGUUCUUUAUAGCAGUAUGAAAACAGACUAAUGCAUAUACAGACACAUACACCUAAGUAACCAUCACUAUCGCAAUCAGGAUAUCAAAUAUUUCUAUCAACCCAAAAAGUUCCUUUGUGAUUUUUGUAGUCAGUCCCCACUCUUGAUUCCCCAUGCCCCAGGCAACCACAGGUCUGCUCCCCGUCAUAUAGACGAGUGUUGUCUGUGUUCAGAUUUCAAAUACAUGGAAUUGCACAAUAUAUGCUCCUAUGUCUAAAUUUUUUUCACUUAGCAUAAUGUUUUCGAAAUUCAUUCAUGUUGUAUUUAUCAGUAGUUUUUAGCAUUGUAUCGCACUGUGGUAUUUCAUUGUAUAUAUCAUCAUUUGUUUAUCCAUUGACCAGUUGAACAUUUGGGCUAUUUCCAGUUUGGGGCUGUUUUGAAUAAAGGUGCCAAGUUCAAGUCUUAAAAAAAAAAAAAAA
rnacentral:lncRNA from 1 species